GCCUGCGUCUGAUUAGCUAGUUGGUGGGGUAAUGGCUCACCAAGGCGAUGAUCAGUAGCUGGUCUGAAGGAUGAUCAGCCACACUGGACUGAAACACGGUCCAGACUCCUACGGGAGGCAGCAGUGGGGAAUCUUGCGCAAUGGACGAAAGUCUGACGCAGCCACGCCGCGUGAGUGAAGAAGGCCUUAGGGUUGUAAAGCUCUGUCGCUUGGGACGGUACCAAGAGAGGAAGCACCGCUAACUUCGUGCCAGCAGCCGCGGUAAUACGAGGUGCAAGCGUUGCUCGGAAUUAUUGGGCGUAAGGGUGGGUAGUGGUCUUAUUUGUCUGAGGUGAAUCCCGGGGCUUAACUCCGGAAGGCCUUAGAAACGGUAAACUUGAGUGCUAGAGAGGUUGUGGAAUCCCGGUGUAGCGUGAAAUGCGUAGAGAUCGGAAGGAACACCAGUGGAUCACAGUGAAUUCGC
rnacentral:rRNA from 1 species